rnacentral:rRNA from 1 species
AACGAACGCUGGCGGCAUGCCUAACACAUGCAAGUCGAACGAGACCUUCGGGUCUAGUGGCGCACGGGUGCGUAACGCGUGGGAACCUGCCUUAAGGUUCGGAAUAACUCCCCGAAAGGGGUGCUAAUACCGGAUGAUGUCUUCGGACCAAAGAUUUAUCGCCUUUAGAUGGGCCCGCGUUGGAUUAGCUAGUUGGUGGGGUAAAGGCCUACCAAGGCGACGAUCCAUAGCUGGUCUGAGAGGAUGAUCAGCCACACUGGGACUGAGACACGGCCCAGACUCCUACGGGAGGCAGCAGUGGGGAAUAUUGGACAAUGGGCGAAAGCCUGAUCCAGCAAUGCCGCGUGAGUGAUGAAGGCCUUAGGGUUGUAAAGCUCUUUUACCAGGGAUGAUAAUGACAGUACCUGGAGAAUAAGCUCCGGCUAACUCCGUGC